CAAACGGCCCUUUUCAGGGCCACCCCAAACUAACUUAGUGAUUGAGU
rfam:Macrostomum lignano uti_cns_0007427, whole genome shotgun sequence.